rnacentral:rRNA from 1 species
UACGUAGGGUGCAAGCGUUGUCCGGAAUUAUUGGGCGUAAAGAGCUCGUAGGCGGUCUGUCGCGUCGGCUGUGAAAACCCGGAGCUCAACUCCGGGCCUGCAGUCGAUACGGGCAGACUGGAGUUCGGCAGGGGAGACUGGAAUUCCCGGUGUAGCGGUGGAAUGCGCAGAUAUCAGGAGGAACACCGGUGGCGAAGGCGGUUCUCUGGGCCUGUACUGACGCUGAGGAGCGAAAGCGUGGGGAGCAAACAGG